GAAGCUGGAUUCGCUAGUAAUCGCGGAUCAGCACGCCGCGGUGAAUACGUUCCCGGGCCUUGUACACACCGCCCGUCACACCAUGGGAGUUUGUAACGCCCAAAGUCGGUGGCCUAACCUUUAUGGAGGGAGCCGCCUAAGGCGGGACAGAUGACUGGGGUGAAGUCGUAACAAGGUAUC
rnacentral:rRNA from 1 species